UUAGAGUGUGCUAGCUUGCUAGAAUUUAGAUACAGGUGCUGCACGGCUGUCGUCAGCUCGUGUCGUGAGAUGUUGGGUUAAGUCCCGCAACGAGCGCAACCUCGUGUUUAGUUGCUAACAGUUCGGCUGAGAACUCUAAACAGACUGCCUACGCAAGUAGGAGGAAGGUGAGGACGACGUCAAGUCAUCAUGGCCCUUACGGCCAGGGCUACACACGUGCUACAAUGGGGUAUACAAAGAGCAGCGAUACGGUGACGUGGAGCAAAUCUAGAAAAUGCCUCUCAGUUCGGAUUGUAGUCUGCAACUCGACUACAUGAAGUUGGAAUCGCUAGUAAUCGUAGAUCAGCAAUGCUACGGUGAAUACGUUCCCGGGUCUU
rnacentral:rRNA from 1 species